rnacentral:tRNA from 1 species
CAAAAUAUAGCUUAAACAAAGCCUCCCGCUUACACCGAGAAGAUAUUUGUUGAAACCAAAUUAUUUUGA